GUGAAUCAUCGAAUCUUUGAACGCACAUUGCGCCCGCCAGCAUUCUGGCGGGCAUGCCUGUUCGAGCGUCAUUGCAACCCUCAGGCCCUGCCUGGCGUUGGAGGACUGCACCGCAGCCUCCCAAAGCAAGCGGCGGCGGCGCCCCAAAACCGAACGCAGUAGUUAUACCUCGUUCUGGGUGUGGGACGUUGCCCGGCCGGAAAACCCCUUACUUUUUAGUGGUUGACCUCGAAUCAGGUAGGAAUACCCGCUGAACUUAAGCAUAUCAAUAAGCGGAGGA
rnacentral:misc_RNA from 1 species